rnacentral:pre_miRNA from 1 species
UUAGUACUCCCUCCAUCUCAAAAUUCUUGUCUUGGAUUUGUUUAGAUAUGAAUGUAUCUAGUCAAGUUUUAGUAUUUAGAUACAUCCAUUUCUAAACAAAGUUAAGACAAGAAUUUUAGGACGGAGGGAGUAGUAC